CGUUUCAUCCAGGAAGUCAAUUGUUCCUGCACCUGCGACAUCCCACUGCUGAACAGUGCCCUCGAAAGCUGCUAAUUCUCACAGAUGGUCUCUGUGCCUCUCUCCCAGCUUCAUGUCUCCCUAAUCCUUAAUCCUGUGGAAAUCGGUCGGGCAGAACGGGGCAGCUUUGAUCAAGCUUUCAUAUCAGACGAGGUAACAGUGUCGGCUCCCCCGGAUCCCACAGAACCCUGGAUCCCAGCAGUACGGAGUGGAGCUGAGGAGCUCCAAGCAGGAGUACACCCAGCCUGCCCUGGGAGACAGGGACACAGACAGGCUCGCCGCCAGCCUGCACUGCCACCUCAGCUACAGCAUCAGGUCACCAGCCUCUCCAUUUCAAAACAUUGCAUCAUCACAACGGAAGUGAUAACUGAGUAACCAUGCAGUAUCAUUUCGUUAUGUGAUAUCUGCAUUGUUGUUCCACUUAAGGCAAGCAGAGGCUUUGUUUUGGGUCUUGUAAAACGUCCAUUGUUGUUGUCGAUCCCGUCCCUGAGAAUGUGUUUCGCAUCUUGGCACUGGUGUCUGGCAUUGUGUGGUACAGCCAAGGAUAAUACCUGCUACUCGCCAUGUGGCAGGGAUGUCACAACACCUGCUCGGUAAGGUGGCACAAAUGUGGCACGAACAGGAAAGCUAGACUUCUUUUAAAGGACAUCGACCAGAGAAAGGUCCAGACACGGCUUCCCCGACACCCACACUGUCUCAGACUCCAGUCCUUAUCAUAACCACAUACCAUUACUAUGGAAAAGAAAACUAAUCUCCCAAUCGCUGCGAUUUUGUCCGGCACCCAAACAUAGAGUUUAGGCUGUUGUAAAUGGGUAAAGCAUGUCUUGCGAUGCGAUGACGCAAAAGGUUAACAGUCUGGAAUCUGGGAUGUAAACAAGCAGAUAGAGGAAAAUAGGGCCUAGCCGUGUUAAAGACAUGCACUUUGGCGACUUGUAAGUAUAUCUUAAACCUCCCCCUUUGGCUGGAUGUGUCAAUGUGUAGUUCAUACAAACAUAAUCUAUGAACACAUUUACAAAAUCCCUAGUUUGAAAGCUGACUGUUUUUCUGGAAGCUGUGAUGAGCCAUUUUCCUUACAUUUCCAGCCCCUAGCAAUCAGAGUUCUAUCCAAUGAGCCCCUUGCCAUUUAAGUAACAGCUAGCAAGAGGCACACACAGCAGAGUGCAAUAGAGUUCAAUGACGUGGUGCAUCUGCAUAGAUGUAGUAUGCCAUUUUCAGGGACCACUUUUGGCUUUCAAAACUACUGGCUAAAAAGUAUACAAAAGUACUGGAGAAUCUCUUUAACAGGGAUGACUCCAACACACACAAUGUCUUUCCCCUUACUCCAUGUGACAGACGGGUGGGCUGGAGCGCUCUCCCUGCAUCCACAACAAUACUGACACUGUGCUCAGACCCCAUUUGAAUCAUUUCAGAUAUGUAAUCAAGCACUUUGAAUCAUCAACUUUAGGCCCAGCUGUGUACAGGAUGUGCAACACCUGAUAUAAAGAUCUCUCUCGCGCUCUUUUCUCUCUCCUUCAGAGAAGCAUUGCAGAAUUCGAUCGGUAUCUCAUUUUCAAACCACUGAAAUUAGCACAGUGCAGUUGGUGAUAUGAUCACACAUUUGACGAACACAUUUGAUCACCCGCCAAUUCAUCCCUGUGCCCUUGGCUUUCAUUAAAGACAGAGAGAGAGAAUCAAGUGGUCUUUCACCUUCCCUACCAGAGCUCGGAGGCACUACAUCAUGGCAGCCAGGACAGAUGUAUGAGUAUUUAAUGAGCAGGAAUGACACAUGAUAAAAUGAGAGCAGAGACUGUGGGUGGCAGGCCUGAGUAACAGAAAAUGUUCAAUCACAGAUUUGGUACGCAGGCGUGCAUCAAAGAAUGAGCACUCCCCCUGUUGACCUAGAUCAAAUCUGACAGCAGGCAUCGCUCUCCAUCUCUAUCUCUUGCGCUCUCGAUCUUCUCCAUCCUAUCUCUCUGUUUCUCCCUACAUCUCACUCACUUCCUCACUGAAAAACAUGUAUUUAUGCAUAAAAGGAUAAUAAUAUUCAGAGUCCUCUAAUUAGUAGACAGACAAGCAGAUGAUACAGCAGCACGUGUGCCUCGUCCCCAAGUCCCUGAGAUAGCAUUGUGUUUGUGUAGAUGAGGCUGAUGAGAUGAUCAAUGGCACCAUUUCAAGUAACAAUCAUUCACUGGAUGGAUCUGGUUCGCUGUCAUUGCUGUGCUAUCCUCCUUUGCGUUAAGGCCUGUUCCACCAUGGUUUGAAUGUAUAGCCUGACAUCUAGUGGCUAAAUAUGAGAAUAAGGUGAGUAAAGAUAGAGGAAUUUAGAUAUGGGGCGUUCCACCAAUUUAGUGCCUUCUGAGGUUUUUUUAAAACUCAUUGUUUUUGAUUUCACCUAAUUUUGGCAUUCUGUCAUAAAUUUCAGAAAAAAACAUGUCUUCCCAUCUCAAGAGUAAAAAAAAAGGUUAAAAUGCUGAAUUUUGGCACUUUAGCAAGCCUUUAUUUGUAAAUCUGAUUUACUUAAUUAUCCAUGUGGUCUAUAUUAACAGCACUUCAUUUGAUAUAACAGAUUGUUUUAAAUCUAUAUUGCUGCACAAUUUCAACUUAAAAUAUCAAAAGUCAUGCAACAGUAUUACAGUUCUACAGUUAGGCAAAAAGGUAUCUGUCACGACUCCUACCGAAGGUAGCUUCCCUUCCUGUUCGUGUGGCGCUCGGCGGUUGUCGUCACCGGCCUACUAGCUGCCACUGAUCCCUUUUCCCCUUUUCUGUUUAUUGGUUUCACCUGUGUUUGUUUUAGGCUGAUUGGUUGGGCUUUAUUUACCAGCAGCUGUGUGCGGGAUUGUUCGAUGUACAUGUGUACGCGGCUAUGUGUCACGGAUUGUUUAAGUCCCCCGUGUUUGGGGCAUUUGUUUUGAUUGGCGUAUGUUCACCGUUGUUGUGCAUUAAAAGUUAGCACUACCCUGAA